GUUUUUGUGGGAAUUUCAUUAUUCUAACUAUGUUUUGGCAUUUAACCGACGUGUUUCGAAUGUUAACACAAAUGUUGUAUAUUUUGGGGUAAUUAAAUAGUUUUGGAAUUAGUUGGAAAUUGGCUUGUGAACUAUGAAAGGCUUGAUCCCUAUUUAGGGUACGUAGGCAGUCUAACGAGAAGUUAGAUGCAGCCUUAAAUAAUCAAGAUUAAUCUUACGUUGAAAUUUGUCUAUGAAGAGUAAUUGGGUGAUUAAUUUAUAACAUAUAUCUUAUGUUCUUGGUAAAUGAAUUGGGUUAUAGAUUUUGUGAGUAACUCAUAAUUCGAAAAUCAAGUAUUAACUUUUGUUGAGAAGUUGAGUUAAUAGAAGAAAUUUGGAGAUUUAGUGAAAAAUCUAAGCAUAUGCUUUGGUAAUUAAAAUAUGAUUAUAGUUAUAAGUAAAGAAAUUAAAUAAAGCAUCAUGAUUGAGAAUUUAGCUAAGUAAAGCGAAGUUUAGUUUGGGCCAUAAAAUUAAACGAGGUUAAAUAAUUGAGAAUUUCAAUUGAGUUGAGAAUUAUUCUUAGAUUGGAGAAAAAAAAUUGAUCUAAGAGAGGUAAAGGGUAAGGAAUCCAACAUAAAAUUGUUAUGUUUUGAUAAGAGAAUUAAGGUUAUAGAACUUGUGGAAUUAAGGAACUUUAUUAUAUGGUCGUGAAUAUUGGCGGCUAAAUAAACAACAGUUUUAUUUUGGGCCUAUCAACAAACUCAAUUCCCGAAAAUAAAUAUUUCGGGGCUGGGGUGUUACAGUAUUUGUUGAGUGAUUGAGAAUUUAAUGUUCACGACUAACUAUCAAUGUCCUAGCAACUCCUCUAGAUGAUUUGCUUGUUUCAAAAAUAAUACAUAGUAUAGUAGGGUAGACAUGGACCCAAAAUUGACUAGAAUACCUUUCAACACAAAGAGAUGAAUAUGAAAUCCCCAUUAGGAUAGACGCUAGUCUAAACGCCUGAGAAAUCUAAUAAUCUCAUGAAUGAGGAAUUUUACGAAGUGGUCAAAAAUGUAAUCUUUCUGGACCAGUGAAAAGAAAAUGGGUUAUCAUUUCAAGUUGAUUUAUAGGCAUUGAAACAUCAUCAUCAUCUCCACAUGUACAAGAUACCUCGUACCGAAAGUGUAUGAUGAUAUUUCCCAACUCCCUUCAUAUAUAAGAAGUGAUUAUGACUAUUCAAACCAUUUCUUGAUAUCUCGCAAGUAACAUCAAAAUAAUACCUGUGAACUCCAACUAAGGCGGGAUAGGACAGGUCGAAAGUGUUCAAGUAUACAUAUGUCUUUUGCUGCAUUAAAUAGUAAUUACAUUUUCCACAAUUGGGAUAGUACACGAUAGUGCAAUCAUAGAAGUUGAUUUAGUUCUUCCAUCAUCACUAUCAGAAAUUUUGGCUUAACUCAAAUGAAGAUCUGUUUGAGAAAUCUAAGGUUGGUAAAUGUUCUAGACACGUUCUCACCGAGAAGUGUCAUCUGAUAUUUUAAAUGAAUAUAAUAACACUUGACUCCAAUCAUGAAUAGGAUGGUUCAUUUUGAAUGGUUUUAACCGUUGGAAAGUAUAAGCGAUUCUCCAUCAUGCUGACUCAACACAGUCGAAACAUCCAGAGAACACGUCAUCAUGGGUUUCCAAAUGAUCAAUGUCAUCGAAAGGUGUAAAGAAAAGGUAAGGUAAGACAACAGUUCAUUUGUCUAAAACUUUAUUCAUAAUUAACAUCCCAAACCAAACUAAUUUUCCUUGGACGACAAGACCAAAGUUUGUCUCGAAAUCAUUUACGAAGGAAAAGAAAAGAAAAGAACAAAAAAGAAAAUCAUUUAUGAAAUCACAUCUCCCAGGAGAAGUACCAAUUUACACAAAGGUAAUAUUUGAGAAAUUUGAUGUGAAGUCGACUGCUGAUAAUUGGAUAAUUUAAUCUCGUUACUAGAAUAUGUGAGAUAGUCAUCUACAAGACUAUUAUGAAUUCGUCAAA
rnacentral:lncRNA from 1 species